GCGGGCGUAGCUCAAUGGUAGAGUAUAAGCUUCCCAAGCUUGUGACGAGGGUUCGAUUCCCUUCUCCCGCU
rnacentral:tRNA from 1 species